CCUAAUACAUGCAAGUCGUACGCGUUGGCCCAACUGAUUUGAAGUGCUUGCACGGAUCUGACGUUGGUUUACCAACGAGUGGCGGACGGGUGAGUAACACGUAGGUAACCUGCCCAGAAGCGGGGGACAACACUUGGAAACAGGUGCUAAUACCGCAUAACAAUUCAAAUCGCAUGAUUUGAAUUUGAAAGAUGGUUUCGGCUAUCACUUCUGGAUGGACCUGCGGCGCAUUAGCUUGUUGGUGGGGUAACGGCCUACCAAGGCAGUGAUGCGUAGCCGAGUUGAGAGACUGAUCGGCCACAAUGGGACUGAGACACGGCCCAUACUCCUACGGGAGGCAGCAGUAGGGAAUCUUCCACAAUGGGCGCAAGCCUGAUGGAGCAACACCGCGUGAGUGAAGAAGGUUUUCGGAUCGUAAAGCUCUGUUGUUGAAGAAGAACGUGCAUGAGAGUAACUGUUCAUGCAGUGACGGUAUUCAACCAGAAAGUCACGGCUAACUACGUGCCAGCAGCCGCGGUAAUACGUAGGUGGCAAGCGUUAUCCGGAUUUAUUGGGCGUAAAGAGAGUGCAGGCGGUUUCUUAAGUCUGAUGUGAAAGCCUUCGGCUCAACCGAAGAAGUGCAUCGGAAACUGGGAAACUUGAGUACAGAAGAGGGCAGUGGAACUCCAUGUGUAGCGGUGGAAUGCGUAGAUAUAUGGAAGAACACCAGUGGCGAAGGCGGCUGCCUGGUCUGUAACUGACGCUGAGACUCGAAAGCAUGGGUAGCGAACAGGAUUAGAUACCCUGGUAGUCCAUGCCGUAAACGAUGAGUGCUAGGUGUUGGAGGGUUUCCGCCCUUCAGUGCCGGAGCUAACGCAUUAAGCACUCCGCCUGGGGAGUACGACCGCAAGGUUGAAACUCAAAGGAAUUGACGGGGGCCCGCACAAGCGGUGGAGCAUGUGGUUUAAUUCGAAGCUACGCGAAGAACCUUACCAGGUCUUGACAUCUUGCGCCAACCCUAGAGAUAGGGCGUUUCCUUCGGGAACGCAAUGACAGGUGGUGCAUGGUCGUCGUCAGCUCGUGUCGUGAGAUGUUGGGUUAAGUCCCGCAACGAGCGCAACCCUUGUUACUAGUUGCCAGCAUUCAGUUGGGCACUCUAGUGAGACUGCCGGUGACAAACCGGAGGAAGGUGGGGACGACGUCAGAUCAUCAUGCCCCUUAUGACCUGGGCUACACACGUGCUACAAUGGACGGUACAACGAGCAGCGAACUCGCGAGGGCAAGCAAAUCUCUUAAAACCGUUCUCAGUUCGGAUUGCAGGCUGCAACUCGCCUGCAUGAAGUCGGAAUCGCUAGUAAUCGCGGAUCAGCAUGCCGCGGUGAAUACGUUCCCGGGCCUUGUACACACCGCCCGUCACACCAUGAGAGUUUGUAACACCCAAAGUCGGUGGGGUAACCUUUUGGAGCCAGCCGCCUAAGGUGGGACAGAUGAUUAGGGUGAAGUCGUAACAAGGUAGCCGUAGGAGAACCUGCGGUUG
rnacentral:rRNA from 2 species